rnacentral:rRNA from 1 species
GACGAACGCUGGCGGCGUGCUUAACACAUGCAAGUCGAGCGGUAAGGCCCUUUCGGGGGUACGACGAGCGGCGAACGGGUGAGUAACACGUGGGUGACCUGCCCUCAGCUCUGGGAUAAGCCUGGGAAACCGGGUCUAAUACCGGAUAUGACUCCAUGACGCAUGUUGUGGGGUGGAAAGCCUUGUGCGGCUGAGGAUGGGCCCGCGGCCUAUCAGCUUGUUGGUGGGGUGANGGCCUACCAAGGCGACGACGGGUAGCCGGCCUGAGAGGGCGACCGGCCACACUGGGACUGAGACACGGCCCAGACUCCUACGGGAGGGCAGCAGUGGGGAAUCUUGCGCAAUGGGCGAAAGCCUGACGCAGCGACGCCGCGUGAGGGAUGAC